rnacentral:rRNA from 1 species
UGGGGAAUUUUGGACAAUGGGGGAAACCCUGAUCCAGCCAUCCCGCGUGUGCGAUGAAGGCCUUCGGGUUGUAAAGCACUUUUGGCAGGAAAGAAACGUCGCGGGUUAAUACCCCGCGAAACUGACGGUACCUGCAGAAUAAGCACCGGCUAACUACGUGCCAGCAGCCGCGGUAAUACGUAGGGUGCAAGCGUUAAUCGGAAUUACUGGGCGUAAAGCGUGCGCAGGCGGUUCGGAAAGAAAGAUGUGAAAUCCCAGAGCUUAACUUUGGAACUGCAUUUUUAACUACCGGGCUAGAGUGUGUCAGAGGGAGGUGGAAUUCCGCGUGUAGCAGUGAAAUGCGUAGAUAUGCGGAGGAACACCGAUGGCGAAGGCAGCCUCCUGGGAUAACACUGACGCUCAUGCACGAAAGCGUGGGGAGCAAACAGGAUUAGAUACCCUGGUAGUCCACGCCCUAAAUCGAUGUCAACUAGCUGUUGGGGGCCUUUCGGGCCUUGGUAGCGCAGCUAACGCGUGAAGUUGACCGCCUGGGGAGUACGGUCGCAAGAUUAAAAGCUCAAAUGAAUUGACGGGGGUCGA